rnacentral:rRNA from 1 species
GCGGAAGGAUCAUUAUUGAAUGAACUUGACGUGGUUGAGCUGGCCCUCUCGAGGGCAUGUGCACGCCCGUCAUCUUUAUCUCUCCACCUGUGCACACUUUGUAGACUUGGAUAGUACUUUCCGAGGUAACUCGGUCGGGAGGACUGCUGUGUGUUUUUUAUGCCAGCUUUCCUUGCAUUGUCCAGGCCUAUGUUUUUCAUAUACCCAAAAAAUGUAACAGAAUGUAUUAUUGGGCCUUGUGCCUAUAAACUAUAUACAACUUUCAGCAACGGAUCUCUUGGCUCUCGCAUCGAUGAAGAACGCAGCGAAAUGCGAUAAGUAAUGUGAAUUGCAGAAUUCAGUGAAUCAUCGAAUCUUUGAACGCACCUUGCGCUCCUUGGUAUUCCGAGGAGCAUGCCUGUUUGAGUGUCAUUAAAUUCUCAACCUUACCAGCUUUUGCGAGCUCUUGGUAAAUGGCUUGGAUGUGGGGGUCUUUUGCUGGCUUCAUCAAGAAGUCUGCUCCCCUUAAAUGCAUUAGCCGGUGCCCUGCGUGGAGCCGUCUAUUGGUGUGAUAAUUAUCUACGCCGUGGACGUCCACUUUUAAUGGGAUGCAUUGCUUCUAACCGUCCGUUCAUUUGGACAAUUAUGACAUUUGACCUCAAUCAGGUAGGACUACCCGCUGAACUUAGCAUAUCAAUAAGCGGAGGA